rnacentral:lncRNA from 13 species
CAGAACCAAAACCUCUGUGUGCAGCCUGCAGGGAGCCGGGGAAUGGGUGCAGGGCUGCAGCCGUCUCCUAGCGGACCUGGAGCCGGCAGCUGGCUUCACAUUGCUGGAAUCCAGCCGCAAGGGAGAACUCGGCAGAGGUUCUGGAGAUAUCAGAGAAGAACCUUUGGGUUGAGCAUUCAGAGAAGAUGGAAGAAAGAAACAAAGAGGGUCUGUAUGUGCUCCUUCAAAGUCUACGAGAAGAUGCUGGAUAAAAUCCUUUGCAAAUCUAUCCCUCCAUUCCCAUGUGUGGAUUUUCCAUUCC